CUAUACAUGCAGUCGAGCGAACGGACGAGAAGCUUGCUUCUCUGAUGUUAGCGGCGGACGGGUGAGUAACACGUGGAUAACCUACCUAUAAGACUGGGAUAACUUCGGGAAACCGGAGCUAAUACCGGAUAAUAUUUUGAACCGCAUGGUUCAAAAGUGAAAGACGGUCUUGCUGUCACUUAUAGAUGGAUCCGCGCUGCAUUAGCUAGUUGGUAAGGUAACGGCUUACCAAGGCAACGAUGCAUAGCCGACCUGAGAGGGUGAUCGGCCACACUGGAACUGAGACACGGUCCAGACUCCUACGGGAGGCAGCAGUAGGGAAUCUUCCGCAAUGGGCGAAAGCCUGACGGAGCAACGCCGCGUGAGUGAUGAAGGUCUUCGGAUCGUAAAACUCUGUUAUUAGGGAAGAACAUAUGUGUAAGUAACUGUGCACAUCUUGACGGUACCUAAUCAGAAAGCCACGGCUAACUACGUGCCAGCAGCCGCGGUAAUACGUAGGUGGCAAGCGUUAUCCGGAAUUAUUGGGCGUAAAGCGCGCGUAGGCGGUUUUUUAAGUCUGAUGUGAAAGCCCACGGCUCAACCGUGGAGGGUCAUUGGAAACUGGAAAACUUGAGUGCAGAAGAGGAAAGUGGAAUUCCAUGUGUAGCGGUGAAAUGCGCAGAGAUAUGGAGGAACACCAGUGGCGAAGGCGACUUUCUGGUCUGUAACUGACGCUGAUGUGCGAAAGCGUGGGGAUCAAACAGGAUUAGAUACCCUGGUAGUCCAC
rnacentral:rRNA from 2 species